UGGGGGAAUUUUGGACAAUGGGCGAAAGCCUGAUCCAGCAAUGCCGCGUGUGUGAAGAAGGCCUUCGGGUUGUAAAGCACUUUUGUCCGGAAAGAAAUCCUUGGCUCUAAUACAGUCGGGGGAUGACGGUACCGGAAGAAUAAGCACCGGCUAACUACGUGCCAGCAGCCGCGGUAAUACGUAGGGUGCAAGCGUUAAUCGGAAUUACUGGGCGUAAAGCGUGCGCAGGCGGUUUGCUAAGACCGAUGUGAAAUCCCCGGGCUCAACCUGGGAACUGCAUUGGUGACUGGCAGGCUAGAGUAUGGCAGAGGGGGGUAGAAUUCCACGUGUAGCAGUGAAAUGCGUAGAGAUGUGGAGGAAUACCGAUGGCGAAGGCAGCCCCCUGGGCCAAUACUGACGCUCAUGCACGAAAAGCGUGGGGGAGCAAAACAGGAUUAGAUACCCUGGUAGUCCACGCCCUAAACGAUGUCAACUAGUUGUUGGGGGAUUCAUUUCCUUAGUAACGUAGCUAACGCGUGAAGUUGACCGCCU
rnacentral:rRNA from 1 species